GUGAAUCAUCGAAUUUUUGAACGCAAAUUGCACUCCCUGGUAUUCCGGGGAGUAUGCCUGUUUGGGGGUCGUUAGAAGAAAAAUCGAAGCAUCGCUCUUUUUGUGAGGGUGAGCGCGUCGGAAUUGAGCCGUCUUUCGAAGGUUAAUUCAUGUCAAAGUGUCUUAAAAGUCAUCCAUCCGGGACGAUUAAAGCGUAUUUAAGAUCAAUUUUGAUUAAGAACGCGCGAUGGCGUACCAUCCCAUGUAGU
rnacentral:misc_RNA from 1 species